rnacentral:rRNA from 1 species
UACGUAGGGUGCGAGCGUUGUCCGGAAUUAUUGGGCGUAAAGGGCUCGUAGGCGGUUUGUCGCGUCGGGAGUGAAAACCAGGUGCUUAACACCUGGCUUGCUUUCGAUACGGGCAGACUAGAGGUAUGCAGGGGAGAACGGAAUUCCUGGUGUAGCGGUGAAAUGCGCAGAUAUCAGGAGGAACACCGGUGGCGAAGGCGGUGCUCUGGGCAUUACCUGACGCUGAGGAGCGAAAGUGUGGGGAGCGAACAGG